rnacentral:rRNA from 1 species
GACGAACGCUGGCGGCGUGCCUAAUACAUGCAAGUUGAGCGCUGAAGGUUGGUACUUGUACCGACUGGAUGAGCAGCGAACGGGUGAGUAACGCGUGGGGAAUCUGCCUUUGAGCGGGGGACAACAUUUGGAAACGAAUGCUAGUACCGCAUAAAAACUUUAAACACAAGUUUUAAGUUUGAAAGAUGCAAUUGCAUCACUCAAAGAUGAUCCCGCGUUGUAUUAGCUAGUUGGUGAGGUAAAGGCUCACCAAGGCGAUGAUACAUAGCCGACCUGAGAGGGUGAUCGGCCACAUUGGGACUGAGACACGGCCCAAACUCCUACGGGAGGCAGCAGUAGGGAAUCUUCGGCAAUGGACGAAAGUCUGACCGAGCAACGCCGCGUGAGUGAAGAAGGUUUUCGGAUCGUAAAACUCUGUUGGUAGAGAAGAACGUUGGUGAGAGUGGAAAGCUCAUCAAGUGACGGUAACUACCCAGAAAGGGACGGC